UACGUAGGUGGCGAGCGUUGUCCGGAAUUACUGGGCGUAAAGAGCGCGCAGGCGGCUGGUCAAGUCCGAUGUGAAAGCUCCCGGCUUAACUGGGAAAUUGCAUCGGAAACUGAUCGGCUUGAAGGUGGGAGAGGGUAGCGGAAUUCCCGGUGUAGUGGUGAAAUGCGUAGAUAUCGGGAGGAACACCAGUGGCGAAGGCGGCUACCUGGCCCAUUCUUGACGCUGAGGCGCGAAAGCUAGGGGAGCAAACGGG
rnacentral:rRNA from 1 species